UGGGGAAUAUUGCACAAUGGGGGAAACCCUGGAUGCAGCGACGCCGCGUGAAGGAAGAAGUAUCUCGGUAUGUAAACUUCUAUCAGCAGGGAAGAUAGUGACGGUACCUGACUAAGAAGCCCCGGCUAACUACGUGCC
rnacentral:rRNA from 1 species